UCGUCCUGCCUCGUGAUCGUCUUCUCACCCUUCACGAACGGCGGGCGGAAUGAAGGAAGCCCCCGUGAGGACGUGACUCACGGGGGCUUUCC
rfam:Streptomyces swartbergensis strain HMC13 scaffold97.1, whole genome shotgun sequence.